AUGACGAAGCGUAAAAGAACAAGCAUGAAGAAUGAUAAAGCACAAAAGAACGAGGAACUAAUAAGAAAAAUGAUGAAUGACCCAAAACGACGCCGCAUCAUUGCAGAGCUUCACCACCUCAAAUCAAACCCUAACCAUGGCGAACUCGCAAGAGCAAGAUCGUCCAUGGUUCCUCUACGCAAUGCCAUUGCUAGUCUUUACUCUGAUCGCAUUUCAUCUCCUCGCUUUGGUGUAUUGGAUUUACAGAUUGUCGACUGA